CAUCAACCCAGCUUGCUGCUUCUUCCCAGUCUUGGGUUCAAGAUCUUGACAACAAUGAAACUUCUCAUCCUUACCUGUCUUGUGGCUGUUGCUCUUGCCAGGCCUAAACAUCCUAUCGGGCACCACGGACUCCCUCAAG